AUAUUUUGUUUCUUUGGAGCAAAACAAAUGCGGCGGAAUUAUUGUACCAGGAGCGCAGACAUUGGCGGCGGUCGCAAAGAAUGUCGUACGAGAAUUUAUGUGAGCGCGCGCGACCGAUGACAGCGCUACAGCGGCCACUUCCCUACGCGUUAUGCGCCCCUAGUACUUGUUGGUGUUCAUAGGCAUGGUGACGAUGCAGUACCAGGCGCAGAGGACAUGGUGGAGCUGAUAGAGCGGCUAGAGCGGGCCUGCAUACGCUUCGUCCACUUCAGCAAGGAGAACGAGCUCCGGUCGAGGGUCUUCAGCGAAAAGAUGGCCUUGGGUCCAUGAGCGACGGUAACCACUCACCAUCAGGUGGGCCGUAUGCUCGUCUGCCUAUGCGGCAAUAUAUAUUUAUAUAUAAUUUAAUAGUGUGUAAAGAAUUUGCAUGAUAUUUAUAGCGGACUUGUAAGUACAUUCAGUAUACACAGAUUUUCAAAUGCAUCUCAAAACUGAACAAUACGUUCUCAUAAGUUCGAUCUCAUAAUUCGCAUCAGUAGCUACUUAAAUAUCAAAUAAAGGGAAAAGCCGCCUUUACCGAGCGAGUCGGGUCGAAAAUAGUGAAAUAACAGCGACGUAAGCCCUUAAAUCUGUGCACACGUCAUUUGUUUAUUAAGGGCUUUGCCGCGCGCCCUUUUAGCAUAAAUACUGGAUUGCACAGGAACACUAACUGGGUAUAUUUAUUUUUGUAUUAGCAUUGCGAAUACAUUUCUUAAGUUCAUGGAAAAAAUAUACUGCUCUGUUAAAAUUAAUGUUAAACAUAAAUAAGAUAUUACAAUUGAAAAGCAAUCGUUUCAAGUUUAGGUUAACCUAAAUCUUAACACUCAUCGGCAAUCACUCAAGAUGUCCGACAUUUUAUCGGAUUUCGAAUAUGGCAGCUACUGGGUACGGCCGUUUUAAAUGAUAAAUCACUGGCUGCGUCACUGGACUCGUCAAAAUGAACUUAUUUGUCAAACUUAGAUCAUUGUCAAGCGAUAAAGUGUACAGGAAAUUGAAAUUUGUAUCACGGGACGAAAAUCGGGUCCGUCCGCCAUCUUGGAUGCUAAUCGUCACGACUUGUAAUUUAAAUGUGGAAGGACUUUAUUUGUAUAAAAAAAGCAAAUUGAAAAUUUAGAGUUACGUAGAAUUUUACGAAAAAAAAUCUUUUUUAUGCCUGGUUUUCACAAAAAACGUAUUUCCUGGCUUGUGAGCAUUUUAUUUUAUUGUUUUAUUUUAUUAUUAUUAGAUUAAACAGACAAAUUAGCAAAGGAGCUCUUUAAUAAUGUUCCUCAUACAUUUAGCAAUUACUUUUUAUUUAUACAGAUACAUUGUUUACUUACUGUAUGACAAUGCGCCAGCGCGUUGUUUGCAUUCAUUAUAAUAAUACAUAGUAGCAUGGUACUUAAACCAGCGAAGAAGAUUAAAAAGAGGCUGCACCUCGAAUUCGUUCUUGUUCAAUCAAAAUAUGAACAUUAGAAUUUUAUUGUAAUAUUGUAAUGGUAACACCUAAGUUCUAACUAAGUUGCUAAUUUUAAGAUUUGCUCAUGGCAACCCUCUCUUCCGUUCUAGCCUUUUAGCCCCGUGCAUGGCAAGUUGUAAUUAAAUUAUAAUAAAUGCGUAUGUUCAUUUUGCAAAA